UACGAAGGGGGCUAGCGUUGCUCGGAAUUACUGGGCGUAAAGGGCGCGUAGGCGGAUAGUUUAGUCAGAGGUGAAAGCCCAGGGCUCAACCUUGGAAUUGCCUUUGAUACUGGCUGUCUUGAGUACGGGAGAGGUGAGUGGAACUCCGAGUGUAGAGGUGAAAUUCGUAGAUAUUCGGAAGAACACCAGUGGCGAAGGCGACUUACUGGACUGUAACUGACGCUGAGGCAUGAAAGCGUGGGGAGCAAACAGG
rnacentral:rRNA from 1 species